GGGGGCACGGGGGGAACCGUCGACAGUCAGGUAACGAGCGAGACCCACGCCAACAGUUGCUAGCUCGUCCUCCGGGAUGGAGAGGACACUGUUGGGACCGCCUCUGCUAAAGAGGAGGAAGGAAUGGGCAACGGUGGGUCAGCAUGCCCCGAAUUAACUGGGCUACACGCGGGCUACAAUGGGUGGGACAAUGGGUUUUUUCUGGGAGAGAAAAGAAGGCAAUCUCCUAAACCCAUCCUUAGUUCGGAUUGUGGGUUGCAACUCGCCCACAUGAAGUUUUUAUUUGUGGUAAUCGUUCUCAAUAUGGUACGGUGAAUCCCCCUCUUCUUUCCACGAUUUCCCCG
rnacentral:rRNA from 1 species